AGAAUACAUCUCACAAUUUACCUCCCUCACAAAGCUCUUGAGGAGUGGUUCAACCUUUAAUUUGCAAACCAACUUUAUUGAUACUUCCACUGCCACUUCACUGAUUUCAGAUGCUCUCUACUUUCUCUCUCUAGGGUUUCACUUCUGCACGUGGAGGUUUUCGUCUCUUCCCUGAAUUAUUAAAUUUGACACCGUCGAAGAAUUCUAUUUUUGCAAAAAGACACAAUGAUUCUUCUAACGAAGAUUCAGAUCAAGGAGAUUGAUAACUUGAUGGCACGCAGAGUGACCUUUUCAAUGAGAAGCAGAAGGGUUUGGAAAAAGGCUCAAGAACUCUACUCUUUCUGAUUCUGAGAUUGCCCUAAUUGUUUUUCUGCUACUGGUUGGGGAUCAGUAGAUGAUGAGGGUGGUAAAGAGGUGUCAACCCUGUCAGAACAUCCUGGUGUACAACAAAUUCCUAUAAUUUCAACAGUCUCGU